rnacentral:rRNA from 1 species
GGCUCAGGAUGAACGCUGGCGGCGUGCCUAAUACAUGCAAGUCGAACGGUCAAUCGCAAGAUUACACUUGUAAAGUGGCGAACGGGUGAGUAACGCGUUGGUGACCUACCCCGAAGAUUGGGAUACCGGUCCGAAAGGGCUGAUAAUACCGAAUGAAGCUCUGAUUUUAGAGGGUCAGAGAAAAAGCUGCACUGUGAGCAAUCCGCUUUGGGAGGGACCUGCGUCCCAUCAGCUAGUUGGAAGGGUAACGGCCUACCAAGGCUUUGACGGGUAGCUGGUCUGAGAGGACGAUCAGCCACACUGGCACUGCGACACGGGCCAGACUCCUACGGGAGGCAGCAGUAAGGAAUAUUGCGCAAUGGGCGAAAGCCUGACGCAGCGACGCCGCGUGGGGGAUGAAGGUCUUCGGAUUGUAAACUCCUUUUGCAGGGGAAGAUAAUGUGGGUAACCACUUGGACGGUACCCUGCGAAUAAGCCACGGCUAACUCUGUGCCAGCAGCCGCGGUAAGACAGAGGUGGCAAGCGUUGUUCGGAAUUACUGGGCUUAAAGGGCGCGUAGGUGGUGGCGUAAGUCUGAGGUGGAAGGUCAGGGCUUAACCCUGAAAUUGCCUUGGAAACUGCAUCACUUGAGUCAGCGAGGGGAUGGCGGAAUUCCCGGUGUAGCGGUGAAAUGCGUAGAUA